CAGCACCUCAAGUGGUCAGGAUGAUUAUUGGGCCUAAAGCAUCCGUAGCCGGCGCUGAAAGUUUUCGGUUAAAUCUGUACGCUCAACGUACAGGCUGCCGGGAAUACUGCAGCGCUAGGGAGUGGGAGAGGUAGACGGUACUCGGUAGGAAGGGGUAAAAUCCUUUGAUCUAUUGAUGACCACCUGUGGCGAAGGCGGUCUACCAGAACACGUCCGACGGUGAGGGAUGAAAGCUGGGGGAGCAAACCGGAUUAGAGACCCGAGUAGUCC
rnacentral:rRNA from 1 species